AGAGUUUGAUCAUGGCUCAGAACGAACGCUGGCGGCAGGCCUCAAACAUGCAAGUCUAGGGGGUGUAGCAAUACACCACCGGCGGACGGGUGCGUAACACGUGGGAAUAUACCUUUCGGUACGGAACAACUGAGGGAAACUUCAGCUAAUACCGUAUACGUCCUAACGGAGAAAGAUUUAUCGCCGAAGGAUUAGCCCGCGCUCGAUUAGCUAGUUGGUGAGGUAAUGGCUCACCAAGGCUACGAUCGAUAGCUGUUCUGAGAGGAAGAUCAGCCACACUGGGACUGAGACACGGCCCAGACUCCUACGGGAGGCAGCAGUUGGGAAUCUUGGACAAUGGGGGAAACCCUGAUCCAGCCAUGCCGCGUGAGUGAUGAAGGCCUUCGGGUUGUAAAGCUCUUUUACCCGGGAAGAUAAUGACUGUACCGGGAGAAUAAGCUCCGGCUAACUUCGUGCCAGCAGCCGCGGUAAUACGAAGGGGGCUAGCGUUGUUCGGAAUUACUGGGCGUAAAGCGCGCGCAGGCGGUUUCUCAAGUCAGUGGUGAAAGCCCGGAGCUCAACUCCGGAACUGCCAUUGAAACUGUGAAACUUGAGGACGAGAGAGGUGAGUGGAAUUCCCAGUGUAGAGGUGAAAUUCGUAGAUAUUGGGAAGAACACCGGUGGCGAAGGCGGCUCACUGGCUCGUUUCUGACGCUCAGGCGCGACAGCGUGGGGAUCAAACAGGAUUAGAUACCCUAGUAGUCC
rnacentral:rRNA from 1 species